UUUGGAUUUCUCAGUGAUAUUGGAAAGGCACAUUGCUGCAAGAGAUUCACAUGGAUUCCUCAAAGACAGUGUUAAUCUUGCACAGCAAACACUAGUGGGGCUGAAAGUUUGGCCCAGAAAUCCAGAGUUCCACAAGAGAAUGUGGUUCAGUAUUCCCAGUAUGUGUGUGUCCCAAAGAGAGAGUAUGUGCAAAGGACUAUGCAAAGUCACUCUAUCCUCCCAAGCCAUCUGGGUCCAGUGGAAAGAUAUUAUUGUUUGUCCUUCCUUCUUGAGGAAGACCAUGACAUCAGGAAGAUGAUACCACAAUAACAAAUUAAUUGGGUUUGAGUGAAGGAGAGCUGUGCAAGGUUACCAGCCUCAUUUCUUCUCUGGAACCAUUUGGGAUCAAUGGCCAGAUAUAUAUCAAGGCAACUGAAGAUGACUCUGGACACCAUGGAAGAUCUUAGCCUUUUUUAAAACUAAGGUCCUGUAUAAGUCUCAACUUGAUUAAAGCAACCACCUAAUCAGUGAUUAAUGUUUGACAAAAAUGGUCUUUUUUGUAGUGAUUCAUAAAUAAACAAUAAAAUAAAUACAUUUGAAAGAUA